rnacentral:rRNA from 1 species
GGCCGCGGGAAUUCGAUUUUCCGGUUGAUCCUGCCAGACCCGACUGCUAUCAGAGUGGGACUAAGCCAUGCGAGUCAACGUAGAAAUACGUGGCAAACGGCUCAGUAACACGUAGUCAACAUGCCCAGGGGACGUGGAUAACCUCGGGAAACUGAGGAUAAACCGCGAUAGGCCAUGAUUUCUGGAAUGGUUCAUGGCCGAAAUCUAUAUGGCCCCUGGAUUGGACUGCGGCCGAUCAGGCUGUUGGUGAGGUAAUGGCCCACCAAACCUGUAACCGGUACGGGCUCUGAAAGGAGGAGCCCGGAGAUGGGCACUGAGACAAGGGCCCAGGCCCUAU